rnacentral:lncRNA from 1 species
AUGCAGCUUCCAGCCUCACCUCUUCUGUCCAAUGAUGACUGCUCACAGAUGAAAGACACACACAUGAGCAGGAAGACGUUUUUAUGGGAAAGUGUUCCAGAAUGGAAAGGAAUUGCUACAAGACAGGAUGAUGUGGUCGAAAUUCAAACUUCUGAGUGUCAAGUGUUUUUAACUGACAAGUUGGAAUUGGAGCUCUAUUCCUCCUUUCCAGUUUUAGAACUAGGUGUGUAUUUUCAUAGAAAAUUUCAGGCAACACCUUUGAUUAUUGAGACAGGUUAAGCACUGAAUUUCAUAUUUUCUGCAGUGGUUUUUGCACAUGCCUUGAUAAAGCUCACAUGGAUUCCAAGGCUCUUGGUUCCUGUCAUUGUGGUGUUUGAAGAAACCAUCUGGGAAAGACAUAGCCAUGGUUAGUUUGCAUGUAACAGUAACAACGGGAGUAAGGAAGCAUGACUACAAGAGAACACCCCCAAGGAUAUUAAGAAGACAGAGUAUGGAGUCAAAAGGAUUUUACCGAAAGUGACUCAAAAAAUAAAUAAUUAAAAAAAUAAAGCCUUUGUCAAAGACAUAUGUACAGCUUUCCUAAUCCGACACUGCCUUGCACUACACAAGUUGUAACACCCGCACCAUAUUAAUGUCACCUUUGAUGAUCUUUCCAUCUGUAAAUUGAAGUCACGGGAGAUCUAACUUUGAAUCCCAGCAUUGCCUCUGCUCCUUUGUACAAUGUUGUGUUUCAGCUCUCUGACGCUGAGCCCCCUGUGUGGGAAAAGGAGGUGGGAGGGAGAGUUUGGAACAGAUCAAGAGAUCUCGGCUGUGUUUGUGAAGGACGAGGUAAAAAAGAUGUCAUAUUUUGUAAUAACCAGGGAAUUUUUAAAUGUAUUCACAUCAGGGACAUCAGGACUCUCAGAAGUUCUGAUUUAGGAUCACCCGGCGGCGUGCGCAUGAGCUCCCGGCCUGCGCGGGAGCUCCCGGCCUGCGCGACAACAGACCAGGAAGGCCCCAAAGACCCUGGAGGGGGUUUCUUCAGCUGCCUGUCUGCCUGCCUGCCUGCGAUCACCCAGCGGCAUGCGUGC